rnacentral:rRNA from 1 species
AUUGAACGCUGGCGGCAUGCUUUACACAUGCAAGUCGAACGGUAACAGGCCUUCGGGUGCUGACGAGUGGCGAACGGGUGAGUAAUGCAUCGGAACGUACCCAGAGGUGGGGGAUAACGCAGCGAAAGCUGUGCUAAUACCGCAUGUGAUCUGAGGAUGAAAGCGGGGGACCGAGCAGCAAUGUUUGGCCUCGCGCCUUUGGAGCGGCCGAUGUCGGAUUAGCUAGUUGGGGGGGUAAAGGCCUACCAAGGCGACGAUCCGUAGCCGGUCUGAGAGGACGACCAGCCACACUGGGACUGAGACACGGCCCAGACUCCUACGGGAGGCAGCAGUGGGGAAUUUUGGACAAUGGGCGAAAGCCUGAUCCAGCAAUGCCGCGUGCGGGAAGAAGGCCUUCGGGUUGUAAACCGCUUUUGGCAGGAACGAAACGGUGUCCGCUAAUACCGGGCGCUAAUGACGGUACCUGCAGAAUAAGCACCGGCUAACUACGUG